GCUGGGCGUGGUGGCGCACACCUGUAAUCCCAGCUACUCAGGAGGCUGAGGCAGGAGAAUUGCUUGAACCUGGGAGGCGGAGGUUACAGUGAGCUGAGAUCAUGCCACUGCACUCCAGCCUGGGUGACAGAGAGACCCUGUCUCAAAACACACACACACCACAUAAUAAUAUGGUUUCUUUUUUUUUUUUUGAGACAGUCUCGCUCUGUCGCCCAGGUUAGAGUGCAGUGGCACGAUCUUGGCUCACUGCAAGCUCCGCCUCCCAGGUUCACGCCAUUCUCCUGCCUCAG
rnacentral:SRP_RNA from 1 species